rnacentral:rRNA from 1 species
GACGUAGGGGGGCGAGCGUUGUCCGGAUUUAUUGGGCGUAAAGCGCGCGCAGGCGGUUCGGAAAGUCGGGUGUGAAACCCGGGGCUCAACCCCGGACCUGCAUCCGAUACUCCCGGACUGGAGGCAGGUAGGGGAGAGCGGAAUUCCCGGUGUAGCGGUGAAAUGCGCAGAUAUCGGGAAGAACACCGGUGGCGAAGGCGGGUCUCUGGGCCGUAACUGACGCUGAGGAGCGAAAGCGUGGGGAGCGAACAGG